rnacentral:rRNA from 1 species
CUAGCUUGCUAGAUUGAUGGCGAGUGGCGAACGGGUGAGUAAUACAUCGGAACGUGCCCUGUAGUGGGGGAUAACUAGUCGAAAGAUUAGCUAAUACCGCAUACGACCUGAGGGUGAAAGUGGGGGACCGCAAGGCCUCAUGCUAUAGGAGCGGCCGAUGUCUGAUUAGCUAGUUGGUGAGGUAAAGGCUCACCAAGGCGACGAUCAGUAGCUGGUCUGAGAGGACGAUCAGCCACACUGGGACUGAGACACGGCCCAGACUCCUACGGGAGGCAGCAGUGGGGAAUUUUGGACAAUGGGCGAAAGCCUGAUCCAGCCAUGCCGCGUGUGUGAAGAAGGCCUUUUGGUUGUAAGGCACUUUAAGCGAGGAGGAGGCUACUUAGAUUAAUACUCUAGGAUAGUGGACGUUACUCGCAGAAUAAGCACCGGCUAACUCUGUGCCAGCAGCCGCGGUAAUACAGAGGGUGCGAGCGUUAAUCGGAUUUACUGGGCGUAAAGCGUGCGUAGGCGGCUUCUUAAGUCGGAUGUGAAAUCCCUGAGCUUAACUUAGGAAUUGCAUUCGAUACUGGGAAGCUAGAGUAUGGGAGAGGAUGGUAGAAUUCCAGGUGUAGCGGUGAAAUGCGUAGAGAUCUGGAGGAAUACCGAUGGCGAAGGCAGCCAUCUGGCCUAAUACUGACGCUGAGGUACGAAAGCAUGGGGAGCAAACAGGAUUAGAUACCCUGGUAGUCCAUGCCGUAAACGAUGUCUACUAGCCGUUGGGGCCUUCGAGGCUUUAGUGGCGCAGCUAACGCGAUAAGUAGACCGCCUGGGGAGUACGGUCGCAAGACUAAAACUCAAAUGAAUUGACGGGGGCCCGCACAAGCGGUGGAGCAUGUGGUUUAAUUCGAUGCAACGCGAAGAACCUUACCUGGUCUUGACAUAGUAAGAACUUUCCAGAGAUGGAUUGGUGCCUUCGGGAACUUACAUACAGGUGCUGCAUGGCUGUCGUCAGCUCGUGUCGUGAGAUGUUGGGUUAAGUCCCGCAACGAGCGCAACCCUUUUCCUUAUUUGCCAGCGGGUUAAGCCGGGAACUUUAAGGAUACUGCCAGUGACAAACUGGAGGAAGGCGGGGACGACGUCAAGUCAUCAUGGCCCUUACGACCAGGGCUACACACGUGCUACAAUGGUCGGUACAAAGGGUUGCUACCUAGCGAUAGGAUGCUAAUCUCAAAAAGCCGAUCGUAGUCCGGAUUGGAGUCUGCAACUCGACUCCAUGAAGUCG